rnacentral:rRNA from 1 species
UACGGAGGGAGCUAGCGUUGUUCGGAAUUACUGGGCGUAAAGCGCACGUAGGCGGCUUUGUAAGUCAGAGGUGAAAGCCUGGAGCUCAACUCCAGAACUGCCUUUGAGACUGCAUCGCUUGAAUCCAGGAGAGGUGAGUGGAAUUCCGAGUGUAGAGGUGAAAUUCGUAGAUAUUCGGAAGAACACCAGUGGCGAAGGCGGCGACCUGGACAAGUACUGACACUCAACUACGAAAGCGUGGGGAGCAAACAGG